rnacentral:rRNA from 1 species
AGCAUAUCAAUAAGCGGAGGAAAAGAAACUAACAAGGAUUCCCCUAGUAACUGCGAGUGAAGCGGGAAAAGCUCAAAUUUAAAAUCUGUCAGUCCUUUGGCUGUCCGAGUUGUAAUCUAGAGAAGUGUUAUCCGCGCUGGACCGUGUACAAGUCUCCUGGAAUGGAGCGUCAUAGAGGGUGAGAAUCCCGUCUUUGACACGGACUGCCAGGGCUUUGUGAUGCGCUCUCAAAGAGUCGAGUUGUUUGGGAAUGCAGCUCAAAAUGGGUGGUAAAUUCCAUCUAAAGCUAAAUAUUGGCGAGAGACCGAUAGCGAACAAGUACCGUGAGGGAAAGAUGAAAAGAACUUUGGAAAGAGAGUUAAACAGUACGUGAAAUUGCUGAAAGGGAAACGCUUGAAGUCAGUCGCGUUGGCCAGGGAUCAACCUUGCUCUUGCUUGGUGUAUUUCCUGGUUGACGGGUCAGCAUCAAUUUUGACUAUUGGAAAAAGAUCAAGGGAAUGUGGCAUCUUUGGAUGUGUUAUAGCCUUUGGUUGCAUACAAUGGUUGGGAUUGAGGAACUCAGCACGCCGCAAGGCCGGGUUUUUUAACCACGUACGUGCUUAGGAUGCUGGCAUAAUGGCUUUAAUCGACCCGUCUUGAAACACGGACCAAGGAGUCUAACAUGCCUGCGAGUGUUUGGGUGGAAAACCCGAGCGCGUAAUGAAAGUGAAAGUUGAGAUCCCUGUCGUCGGGAGCAUCGACGCCCGGACCAGACCUUUUGUGACGGUUCCGCGGUAGAGCAUGUAUGUUGGGACCCGAAAGAUGGUGAACUAUGCCUGAAUAGGGUGAAGCCAGAGGAAACUCUGGUGGAGGCUCGUAGCGAUUCUGACGUGCAAAUCGAUCGUCAAAUUUGGGUAUAGGGGCGAAAGACUAAUCGAACCAUCUAGUAGCUG